CAGGGAGACAAUAAAUUGAUUGUGAUGUCUAAGUUAUUUAUUCUUAGGCCGCAAUCCUGUCACCUUAAGGUCGAUCGGUACCUCAGAUUUUUGAAUUAGUUUUAUAAUUGAUUCUUUGAUUUCAGUUCCUAAACUUGUCUAGGUCACACCCAACAAAGGUUUCUCCUGGGCCAUUAGCUCAGGUGGUUAGAGCGCACCCCUGAUAAGGGUGAGGUCCCUGGUUCAAGUCCAGGAUGGCCCAUUCGUUGUUGGGGGUAUAGCUCAGUUGGUAGAGCGCCUGCUUUGCAAGCAGGAUGUCAGCGGUUCGAGUCCGCUUACCUCCACUGAAAACUAUCCUGAUAACUAAAUUUCUGGAGAAAUAAAUUGUAGAUGUGGCUUAGAAUUGUCUAUUUGAAAAGAACCUAGCUUCUUGUCAUCUUUUUAUAGUUGAUAAAAUGCUGGGCUCGCAUGGAAUAUUUCCAUGAGAAUUCAGUAGAACCUUGAAAACUGCAUAGAUUAGAAAGAAUAAAGCAUCUCAUGGAUGCAUAGUUCUGUUUUUAUAGUUUAGUCUCAAAACUAAAUUAUUUAAUUCUAGAAUUCAUGUUUAAUUCUUGAGUAAUAGCCGAGCACAAUUAAUUUUGUGAUUGUAUUUAA
rnacentral:tRNA from 1 species